CCUGCUUCCAGAGGCAUUGCGGGUGUGGCUGCUGUGUCACAUGUGCGUCAGUAGGUGGCAGAGAAGAGAGAGGCUAUGCCCAUGCUCAGUGCUCUGACCUGUGAACAUCAGAAUAAUUAGUAAAGUAAGCCU